UUAACUUCUAAUGAUCUUUAUUGUUAUUUUAUUUAAAUUUUAAUAAUGUUCUGUUAUUAAAUUAUACUUAAAACAAUAACUAGUAAAUAUUUCGUCUUUCUCUGACGUCAUAACAAACCUAUAGAUUAGCAGACCUGUAUAUUUGUAUACCUGGUGUACUCCUAGCGGCAACCAAAUUAACUGUAUUGUGACAUCGUCCUCGUUGCACGGAAAAUAUGCCACUUUGGUCAGGGCGUUCAACUCGAGUGGCAGAUAGCCUAUUCAAUUAGAGCGGCGAAUAUUUCAAUCUUAUGUUUCAAGUCAUAGUAUUAUUUUGAAAAGUUAAAUUAUCCGAGUUUAUUAUAUAUGUGUUUAGUGGGCUGAAGAAACAAUAAUUGAAUAUUUCCAGCAGUGAAUUGUGGCUAUCUGCCACUUGGGGAAAAAUCUUUAACUCCUCCUACCACCUGAGAGGGACCGCUUUACGACCAAGUCAUCCAGGGGACAAGUUCUAAAAGCCAUGUAAUUUUCUUUUACUUCAUUAUGCUGCAUUUUGGAGAACUGCCAUAUUACUGUUAGCUGUGUAGCAUGAUUCUGUGCCUAACUAGGGAUCGAAGACGUUACUGAGAAGUAGCAAGGAACACUUGUGGGGACAAUAUCAGGUCAAUCGGGUUUGUUUCGGGAACUUUUAUAUUUUACAGUGCAAUAGUUACCUACAUAUACCAGUAUACUUAUACAUUUAUCUUUUUUAUAAUAUCCAGAACAUUUAAUUAAUUAACAUCACAUAACUCAAUAGCGCUUCCACACCUGUAUGCCUCUUUGUAAAAGAGGAUAAUUUGGGCCCAAAUAACCUUUUCCCAUACAGUAGUUCCUUACAUUUAUUUUUUUUAUCACCAUUAUUAGACUUGUUUCCCAUAUUUUGCAUAUAACUAUAUAUAUUUUAAUAUCA